UACGUAGGUGGCGAGCGUUAUCCGGAAUGAUUGGGCGUAAAGGGUGCGUAGGCGGACUGUCAAGUCAGCGGUAAAAUACGGGGGCUCAACCUCCGCCCGCCGUUGAAACUGACGGUCUUGAGUGGGCGAGAAGUAUGCGGAAUGCGCGGUGUAGCGGUGAAAUGCAUAGAUAUCGCGCAGAACUCCGAUUGCGAAGGCAGCAUGCCGGCUCCACACUGACGCUGAGGCACGAAAGCGUGGGUAUCGAACAGG
rnacentral:rRNA from 1 species